CAAAACUUUCAACAACGGAUCUCUUGGCUCUGGCAUCGAUGAAGAACGCAGCGAAAUGCGAUAAGUAAUGUGAAUUGCAGAAUUCAGUGAAUCAUCGAAUCUUUGAACGCACAUUGCGCCCGCCAGUAUUCUGGCGGGCAUGCCUGUCCGAGC
rnacentral:rRNA from 1 species